GACGAACGCUGGCGGCGUGCUUAACACAUGCAAGUCGAACGGUAAGGCCCUGCUUUUGUGGGGUGCUCGAGUGGCGAACGGGUGAGUAACACGUGAGUAACCUGCCCCUGACUUUGGGAUAACUUCAGGAAACUGGGGCUAAUACCGGAUAUGAGCUCCUGCUGCAUGGGGGGGGUUGGAAAGUUUCGGCGGUUGGGGAUGGACUCGCGGCUUCUUAGCUUGUUGGUGGGGUAGUGGCUUACGAAGGCUUUGACGGCUAGCCUGCCUGCGAGGGUGACCGGCGACAUUGGGACUGGGAUACGGCCCAGACUAGUAGGGGAGGCAGCAGUGGGGAAUAUGGCACAAUGGUGGGAAGACUGAUGCAGCAACGCCGCGUGCGGGAUGUCGGCCUUCGGUUUGUAAACCGCUUUCGCCUGUGACGAAGCGUGAGUGACGGUAAUGGGUAAAGAAGCACCGGCUAACUACGUG
rnacentral:rRNA from 1 species